GCUUCACUACCAAGAAAUGCUCUGCGCAUUGUGCUGUGAUAUACCGUGUUCUUAGGUCCUAACUAAGAAAGGAAGAAAGAAGCAUCCCUAGUUUUAAAUAACUUUGUGUCAAGGAAGUCACCCCAGAAAGUCUCUACGGAAUAAUCAGCGAUGAAAUCCACUCUCUCUGACAUCUGUUCAAACUUUCUGUUGGGUCUGCAGAAAAUUCACAUCAUGGCCUUUAUUAUAUAAUGUAUGAUAUAAUACGGAUCCCAAAUCGGAAGGUGAUUGCUGAUUUGGUGUCUGUGCCUCAAGAACUUUCAAAAGCCAGCCACCCAACAGGGAAAGUCUGCAACUAGAUACACUCAACAAGCACUCAUGGAAGCCAAAAAAAUGGACUGAUGGGCUCUGGAAUAUAGCAGUGGGCAGAACCAAGGCGGCCCUGCCUUCUUAAAGUGGCCAUUCAUUAAGGACAGACAGGCAUCUACCGUGGCCAGCCACCAGUGCCGCCGUAUACCCGCGGUAUUCAACACCGACCAAACCUCGGCUGCUGCGAUAGCCGUGCCAGCCAUGAGCACUGCCGCUAUGCCCCUUCAGCCUUGGCUCGGCAACAUUCCAACUGUCUCCACCACGGACUUCUAAUCAGUCUCUAUCAAUCU